GAAAAAGUAAACAGAAAAGAUAUAAAGGCAGAAGAUACCAUGGUCUUGAGGAAAUGGAGACUAUUCAAAAAUGCUCUUGAACUUCGGGUGCUGUAACUGGUAGGCACCUUGAGAACCAGAGUGUUUUAUUUCAUGGCCAAAUAAAUCUCUAGUUUGACAAUUUUGGCCAACACCUCCUAAAACGAUUAACAGUGAAGAAAAGGAAGGAAGACAGUUAUUGGAGAACUACAUCAACUGUACUUUUGAGGCAGAAAGAAACUGAAAAUAGUUCAUGAAUGAAUGACUGCACUACUUCCACUGUGAAACUGCAAUACAACCUUCAAUUAUAUUAC